AUGAACGCUGGCGGCGUGCCUAAUACAUGCAAGUCGAGCGAACGGACGAGAAGCUUGCUUCUCUGAUGUUAGCGGCGGACGGGUGAGUAACACGUGGAUAACCUACCUAUAAGACUGGGAUAACUUCGGGAAACCGGAGCUAAUACCGGAUAAUAUUUUGAACCGCAUGGUUCAAAAGUGAAAGACGGUCUUGCUGUCACUUAUAGAUGGAUCCGCGCUGCAUUAGCUAGUUGGUAAGGUAACGGCUUACCAAGGCAACGAUGCAUAGCCGACCUGAGAGGGUGAUCGGCCACCCUGGAACUGAGACACGGUCCAGACUCCUACGGGAGGCAGCAGUAGGGAAUCUUCCGCAAUGGGCGAAAGCCUUACGGAGCAACGCCGCGUGAGUGAUGAAGGUCUUCGGAUCGUAAAACUCUGUUAUUAGGGAAGAACAUAUGUGUAAGUAACUGUGCACAUCUUGACGGUACCUAAUCAGAAAGCCACGGCUAACUACGUG
rnacentral:rRNA from 1 species